UGGUGAUGUAGUGUGAUAUCCUUACUGGGCUAGUGUAGCUCAUCCCUUAUCUAACCAUUUCAGAUCAAGAGGACCUGGUUCCAAAGCCCAAUCCCCAGGAAGAUUGCGAGUAGAUGCUAGAUACUUUCUAUUUUUCAUUACUUUUUGUAUUUCUCAUGUUCCUUCUAGAGAAUUCAUUCGCUAAUGUUUGUUUAGUACUUUUAAGUCAUUGU
rnacentral:lncRNA from 1 species